GAUGUAACUGUUGAUUUCAAUUUCAUUCCCUCAGAAUCAUUACAGACCACUCUGAGGCCAAAUGUAAAUAGCAGGAACAGCACCUCAUAUUUCGCUUGGGCAGCUUACAACCCAGCGGAUUGUUAAAACAACUGGUGUCGAGUUCUGAAGGAGGCUUCACGAGAUGUACGAGAGAGCCAUCAAUUCCACAAGACAGGAUAGUAUUCACGGUGAUAAAACAUGAUCUCCCUACAUGCCCUUAUUGCCUUCGGCAUGACAGCCAGCACUGUGCCAGUGAAUCUGGAGGAGCAACGAUGCAUCGGCAGUCAACUUCCCUCACCUUGUUAACCUUGCAGUACAGAUGGUGUACAAAGGAGGGGAGUUUUAAUACGAGUCUUUGGGACUUCUCCUUGGACCAGCAACUAAGUUCUCCAGAUCAGCCUUCACCAGCUGGAGUCCUCGAAGGGACAGCAAGCCAUUGCUCCCAGCCACUGCUCGUAUCAAUGGAGACAGGAAGGGCAGAGGGUGUGAGGGAGUACUAACAUGACCACCAACAAAGACAACACAACAUGGGAAGAAGAAGAAUUCCUGGGAUAGCAGUUCUAUGAGGUGGUGGCUCUACCAGUUGCGCCACUGUGUCAUCGAGUGGCAAGAGGAUCAUGUCGUUCACAAACACUCGCUCAACAGCUUUUGGAGAUGGAUCAAUAACAAGAUGGACUUGAAUGUGACAUAUGGAAAGAUCAAAGAGAAACCAGAGAUGCAGAGUUGUGGAUUCAGAACUAAAGGGCAAUUUGCAGAGGCCGAUUAACCUGCUGACCCACACAACUUUGGGAUGUGGAAGGAAGUGGAGCACCAUGAGGAAACCUAUACGGUCACAAUGAGAAUUUGCAAAGUCCACACAGACAGCCCGAGGUCAAAAUUGAAUCCCGAUCGCUGGAACUGUAAAUAGGAUACACAAAAGCUAAAUAAUGACAGUAAUAGUGCAUGUUUUUAUCAAUGUCACAAAUGAAAUGAGGUAACUUUGUGAUUAUUGUGUCUGGAGAGGAUUAGCACCAUUGCUGGUGGUGUUUUCAAGAAGUUGAAUAUCUUUCUAAAGUGUCAAAAUCUAAGGAUGAAAUUAAUUAAAAUUGUUUUUCCAAUAUUCGGAUGGUUCUCAAGCCAUAUUCUUGCAGUAUAGGACUUGAUUGCAAUAGUUUAUUUCCACCACUAAUUAAUGUGUGUAAAAUCACACAGUCAUUUAAA